AAUCAACGCUGGCGGCGUGCCUCAGACAUGCAAGUCGAACGCUGCUGUUCGCCUUCGGGUGGACAGCGGAGUGGCGCACGGGUGAGUAACACGUAGGUAAUCUACCUUUGGGUGGGGAAUAACAGCCGGAAACGGCUGCUAAUACCGCAUAAUGCAGCGGCAUCACAUGAUGACAGUUGUUAAAGCGAGGGAUCGUAAGACCUCGCGCCUGAAGAGGAGCCUGCGGCAGAUUAGGUAGUUGGUGAGGUAAUGGCUCAC
rnacentral:rRNA from 1 species